GCAGAGUAGGGUCACCUGUGCUGGUCUUUAUAUGGGACCUUCAGUGCCGGCGGGACGGGGAGUUGUCCGCCGGACGAACAGCGCCCUCCCAGUGGGGAGGGGGCGGCAGUGGGUGAUCCGCAUCCCGCUG
rnacentral:ncRNA from 1 species